AUUGAACGCUGGCGGCAUGCCUUACACAUGCAAGUCGAACGGCAGCACGGGAGCAAUCCUGGUGGCGAGUGGCGAACGGGUGAGUAAUAUAUCGGAACGUGCCCAGUCGUGGGGGGAUAACGUAGCGAAAGCUACGCUAAUACCGCAUACGAUCUACGGAUGAAANCGGGGGAUCGCAAGACCUCGCGCGAUUGGAGCGGCCGAUAUCAGAUUAGGUAGUUGGUGAGGUAAAGGCUCACCAAGCCGACGAUCUGUAGCUGGUCUGAGAGGACGACCAGCCACACUGGGACUGAGACACGGCCCAGACUCCUACGGGAGGCAGCAGUGAGGAAUUUUGGACAAUGGACGCAAGUCUGAUCCAGCCAUUCCGCGUGCAGGAUGAAGGCCCUCGGGUUGUAAACUGCUUUGUACGGAACGAAAAGGUUUCUAUUAAUACUAGGAGCUCAUGACGGUACCGUAAGAAUAAGCACCGGCUAACUACGUG
rnacentral:rRNA from 1 species